ensembl:misc_RNA 7SK 7SK RNA
GGAUGUGAGGUUGAUCUGGCUGUUACAUCUGCCACCCCACUGAUCACCAGGAUUGGUUAGGCUGAUCUGAAUGGCUAGACAGAUGUCCCGUUCCUCCUUCACCACUCCAUGUGUGUCCCUCCCAAAGCUGUGUGCUGGGUUGAAGAGGAUGAUUAGCCCAGAGAGAGGAGGACCCUUUCCUUGGUUAAGGGUACAGGAGUAGCUGUGCUGCCUUGCUAGAACCUCUCAAGGUCCAAAUUGUGGGAUAUAUUUAAAUAUUGAAACAGAAUCGCUUCUUAUAACAGAACUGUGAUUGCCA